rnacentral:rRNA from 1 species
UACGAAGGGGGCUAGCGUUGUUCGGAAUUACUGGGCGUAAAGCGCACGUAGGCGGAUCGGUCAGUUAGGGGUGAAAUCCCGGGGCUCAACCCCGGAACUGCCUCUAAUACUGCCGAUCUAGAGUUCGAGAGAGGUGAGUGGAAUUCCGAGUGUAGAGGUGAAAUUCGUAGAUAUUCGGAGGAACACCAGUGGCGAAGGCGGCUCACUGGCUCGAUACUGACGCUGAGGUGCGAAAGCGUGGGGAGCAAACAGGAUUAGAUACCCGGGUAGUCCCUGA